CAAGACCUGCACUUUUGGAGCGGCCGAUGUCUGAUUAGCUAGUUGGUGGGGUAAUGGCCUACCAAAGCUUCGAUCAGUAGCUGGUCUGAGAGGACGGCCAGCCACACUGGGACUGAGACACGGCCCAGACUCCUACGGGAGGCAGCAGUGGGGAAUUUUGGACAAUGGGCGCAAGCCUGAUCCAGCCAUGCCGCGUGAGUGAAGAAGGCCUUCGGGUUGUAAAGCUCUUUCAGCCGGGAAGAAAAGGUUGCGAUUAAUAAUCGCAAUUUAUGACGGUACCGGAAGAAGAAGCACCGGCUAACUACGUGCCAGCAGCCGCGGUAAUACAUAGGGUGCGAGCGUUAAUCGGAAUUACUGGGCGUAAAGGGUGCGCAGGCGGUUUUGUAAGUCAGAUGUGAAAUCCCCGGGCUUAACCUGGGAACU
rnacentral:rRNA from 1 species